GGAAUGAAAGAAAAUGACUUCAGUGUGGGUGCACCAAAUAUUAUUUUAAUUUGUUUAUUUAAAGCAUUUUAUAUCCUGCUCUUCAGCAAUAAAAAAGGGAAAAGGCUCCCAGAGCAGGGCACGAAUGUUCAUGAUAGGAUAGCCCCAAUUCUCAGGCUUAUGGUCUAAAAAGGCAUAACGUAAAAGGAAAGGGGAUUGGGAUGGAGGAAGGAGAAAGGAAAAGAAAACUCAGGCUUUAUUUCUUAGUUGUGGAGUUUACGUAAUGACCAUGUAUAAAUGUGAGAUGCAGGUGGUGGAAAGGCUUGUUGUCACUGAAAGCCAGGACAACAGCAGAAUGCAGGCUGUCAUGGCACCAGAUCCUUUCAAACUCUCCUGGUGAGAGGCGGAAAAGCUCCUGUGCAAAUGGCAACGUACUCCCUUUGGUGGUUGUCUCAUUGGCUUAACGAUCAGAAAUGUGUGGCUCCCAAGAGGAAAGCAGUAGCAUUGAUUUCUUCCGGCUUCCAUCCCUGGAAAAAAUGAAAUUAUACCUUCAGGACAUAAAGGAUGAAAUACCAUAUAAAGAAAUAUAAAGUGUGCAAGAAAAGAAAUAAAAAGUCAGCAUCCAUUGUGGUACAGUGACAUGUUUCUUGGAAAUUCUCUCAACCGAUUCAAAUGGCGAUGUACUUUGUGCAUCAGAUUUGGCCACCCCAACAUGAUGCGUGUGUGUAUUGGGGGGGGGGAUGUCUCCAUAUAUUAGAAUUGUUCACACAUAACUCUGAGCACAGGAGCACAUUGUCUCUGCACAUAGACAAGUGUUCAUGGGAAAGAGUGUAACAUGCUAAUUUGUGCCUCUCAACUGUUCUUUACACAAACUGUGGACUCAAUAAAUAUAAUCUGUGAACACGCUGCUAUUAUCUAGCUCAGUAUUGUCAACACUAACUGGCAGCAGCUCAUCAGGGCUUCAGAACAGGAUUUUCUCCCAGUCUCUCAUGGAGAUGCCCAGGAUUAAACCUGUGACCUUCUUCAUGCAAAGCAAUUGCUCCAUCCCUAAACUACAACCCAUUAAGAAUUUUAAUUCCCAUUAGGACUUUUUUUUUGCCUUCUUCAAAAUUGCUUUGCUAAACAUACACUAGUGUGAAUUUUGGUUGGUGUUUGGUUUUUCGUGCGUGUUUUUGGAAUGGUCUGCCUGACUAUAUAUAUUGGGACAAUUCCCUUUUGUCUUUCUUUGCAGAAAGUUCUCAGUCCCACCCUCCAACCCCAAAGAAGAGUCCCCAUGAUUAAGUUGCUUUGUAUCUCUCUGUACAAGGAGAAGGGGGCAUAAAUUAUUCAUUUUCGGUGGGUGUUAAGAGACUUUGGCCUCAGCUGUGCUCUGAAUAUAGAAACUGAGAGGCUUAUUCAGCAUGGGUCAGGGGAAGCAGAUUUCAAACAGCUUUUUGGCAAGUAUGAAAGAAAAUGCUGUUUUUUACUUUAAAAAAAUUAAAAGAUGACUAGACAAAAAUAGAUUUGCAUGGGCAUCUGUAACUAUUAUUAAGCACUAGUUCACAGCCUGUCCUUAUAACAGGUGCUUUUUUUUUUGUAUGUGUGUGGGAGUUUUAAUAUUGAAUUAAUGCCUUUUAUUGAGCCUUAUAGCAUGCAAUCCACAAAUACAGAAUUUUAUUUUCCCCACCCAGGAGUAAAUGCUAGGGCUAUGUUCACAAGCCUCCCUCCGCCCCACCCCCCGCAAUGCAAUUCAGAGCCUGAUCUGUCACUUUGGAGUGGCCCUGAUCUGGUUUAAUCUUCAGCCAAUGAGAAUUGGGCCUGAUAUUUGCAUAGUCCCACCCAGGGGCUGGUUGCUGCCCUUUGGGACUGCUGGGGAGAAGACCAACAGUAGACAGUUCCAGUGCCAAUGACAGGCAUAGCCACCCUUUGAUUGGCUGGAAAUAAGGCGGCAGACAUGGUAAGCUCUGACCGAGAACAGACUGUGGUUGGUGGUGCUUUGCCCCAUUUACCCUUAUUGGCAAGCCUUCACUGGCCCCACCCCUUUAUUUGCAUCUCCCCACUGCUGAGUUCUGUUUCUCGCUCAUCUGUGGGCAGCCUUCCUUAACCUGGUGCCACCCAGAUGCCAUUGAACUCCCAACUCCUGUUGUCCCUAACCAUUGGCCAUGCUGGCCACGGGGACUGAUGGAAGCUGGAGUCCAACACCUGCAAGACGUCAGGCCAAGGUUCUGUCAGAUAGAUGAAAGUCUGUCAAGAAAGCUAAUGAUGACGGAUGCAGCCAUGAUGCUGAGGCAGCAGUGGCAGACAUGGUGUUUUUUGUACCCACCUUGUCUUCUUUCUGAAGCUAAUAGCUUCUGAACAGUGGGAUUCAAUCUGCUGGAAACUGCAGGUGCAAAGGACUAACUCCUAUCUCCCCCUGGGCACUUGGCCCUGCCUCAAUUUCAUGGCAGCUAUUAACCAAAGAAAAAGGUUUUGGGUUUGGGUGACCAUACAGGAAAGUCUUUAUUUGAAGUGUUCCUCUAUUUGACGGACUCUACAUCCCUAAGUAUGGGGAGAUUUUUCUUUAAAGGCUAAAAACCAUUUGGAAGGAGAGUGAGGCUUUGACGUUUUCCACCAGAAAUUAACAGCUGUACAGAGGACAGGGCAGUCACACUGGUCUUUGGCUCACAGGGUUCUGGACUGUGAUAAAAUUGAUUGUUUCUAUUUAAAUAAUAGUAAAUACUUCUAAAUUUGCAAAUAAGGACACAAAUCAAUGCAUUUCCCCCCCUGCAAAUCUCUCUUUCUUUGUCCUCAUCUCUUUGUUUUGCGACAUGUAGAACUCACCUUAACUUGUUAAAUCUGACCACAGAUCUCCCAUGUGCCAUCUCAGAUGGCCUUAAAAUGGAUUGGCUUCUACUUUUCCAAUAACCCCAUCCCUUCUAGAGUAAUAGCAAGUAGUUGCAGUCUCUCCUCACACAUAAUCUAAAAUCUAGCUAAGAGUGAGAUGCAAUUGCAGGCAACAGGGCUGUAGUAGAAGCAGGCAUCACUAGGCUAGAUGGAACAAUGGUCCAACUCUGUCUAUCUGGUGCCAUGGCCCCAUAACCUGGGGACCUUGCAUUGGACAGCUGAGGACAUGGUUGAGGUUCAGAACAACCUUAUUGGGAGGCCUCAUACCUGCAGGAUACAGCACCAUCACCAUCUUCUGACUCAGAGGAUGAGACUGCUGCAAUGCCUGUGCCUCUCCAGAAGCCAAAGGCUACAGAAUAAGCAGAGGAUGCUUUAACCAACCAGACAGCUCCUCCUACAUAAGGCUUCAAAUGGUGCCAGCUCCCUGCAGACCCCACUUACCUGGAAGCUGCUUUAGCAGGUCUCAUUGGAGCUAUCCAAGGUCUGGUAUGCUCUCCGACUGACUCCGACUUGCGAAUGGGUGUUGCCUGCUCCAUAUGUGAGCCUCAAGCACCCACAGAACUGGAGGUAAGGCAGCUUUGAAUGUCAGUGUUGUGUGUGCAUCUGAGGCCUUUUGUUUCUGGAACUGGGUCACCUAUGGCUUGCUUGUUGUGUUAGAAUUGCCUUGCUGGGUUAUUGUGGAGGCUGAUCCCCACACCUGAGAGUGAGGUGCAUGGUGGCUGAGGUCAGGGUCACUUGGAGCUGCCCACUAGACAGCUGUUAUGCCAGCAAAGCUCCUGUAAAGAGGGAGGUGUUUAUAUCAUCUUGGGCAGCUCCUUCCCCUUCUUGAUCAACCAGCCAGCUCCCAAUGGACACCUGGGUCAUCUCUGGAUUCUCCAUGCUCCUGAGCAUCAGAGCAAGGACCACCUAGCCCAUGAGUGAGGAAUCUCAGGUCCAGGUCUGAAUGUGACCCCCCAGACCCCUCUAUUUGGCCCUUGGAAUGCUCUGCCACACUCCCUCUUCCCAGGCCACACACCCUCACUGGUGGUCCUGCUUGCACUGUUCUGGAACUCUGAUAAAUUCCUCUUCCCUGCCUGGGUGGAGGAUCCAAAGAGGUGUGUGCGCAAGUGUAGAAACCAGCCUACUGCAUAAAGGCAAAAUUUUCAUUUGUUGCUCUGCCUGCUUUUGCCUAUGACCCCCCCCCAUCAGCAUGGGCCCCUCAGAAGAUUGCCUAGAAGGGAAUGUGGCCCCUGGGCUGAGAAAACUUCCCCGCUCCUGAUCUAGCCUACAGUUCUGUCACUCUGCUAGUGCUGUGCCAGACUACCUGUUUCCCCCUGCCUUUGCAAAGCCUUUGAACAGAGCUGUCUCCUGUCUUCUUAAAGCCCAGGCUCCCCCCUGAGCCUCUGGUGCCACUUUCCACUGCUGAGAUAUAAAUAUUUAGGGAUCGUCAUCUCUUCCCUCUCCCAGUGACUUAAGCCUCUCUCGCAGCCAGCUUCAUAUGAGAGAGGGUUAUAUUUAUACCAAUGCUUUUGCUUAUUGAGAUGUUUAUCGUGAAAACCUUCAGUUUUGCAAGCAAAGGCCUGGCAACUUUAGAUGCAAUAUAUGCUUACAAGAAAUGAGGAAUAUAGCAUUACUUUUCCUGAUGCAAUGCUAGUACUUCCGUCUCAUUUUCUAAUGUUGCUUUCACACUGCAAUACCCGUUGUUGCAUUAUGGAACUGUGGAUUUUUGACUGAAUUGCCAGCAUGCCAGGGUAAAGUCAUUCACCCUAGUGAGUGCAUGGCACAACACUGGACAUCUCUAGACAAUGCUGCUAUUCCCCCACGCUUUCCACACUUGUGUGCUUCUGUUCCCCUGUGAUUCCUCCAUGAAAACUGCAGGAAAGAACUUUAUGCUGGUAUGCUGCUUCAAAUUUCAUCCCUUUACUCCCCCAGUUUUCCUGGAUUAAGGGGGCUGCAAAUGGAUUCUUUUCUGGAACCAAAUAACAUGGAAAUGAGUGCCAAGUGUGUACUAUAUUCCAUUACUUUUCCAGAAUGGGUCCAUAUGUCAGGGGAAACCUCAAAUCAGUUGCAAAAUCAGUUACAAAAACACCCAGGAACUGGAAUAAACUGUGUGAAUCAGCCUUGGUUUGCAUUAGGGCUGGCAACAAGAGUCAGCAUAUUUGGGCCUCUGGAGAGGGCUCAAUCCCCAGCAGAGCUCAUUGCGCCUAUUGCAAUGAAGAGGCCAGUUCACCAAGGGACGAUGAGCAUGAAUGAUGUCUUGCUCCCCGCCCUUCUGGAGCCUGGAGUCAACACUGCUUCGCAUGGCAACUUAGAAAGGCUAAGAAGAAAGGCUCAAUCUCUUAGCCAUAUUUAGAAGGAUGCUAAUAACACCUGAUGGAGAUGUAAGAUAGAGGAAGCAGAGAUGGGCCACAUUUUGGAGUUCCGGAUGAUGACAUUUUGGAAAUAAGUUGGCUUUGUAAAAGAGUCAGUGCUGCCUGGGGAGAUAGAAAUAGUUUAAUAAAAACAGUUUUUAAAAGGAAAAAGAAAGAAAGAAAUCUCUCUGCCUAGUUCAUUCAUACUUUUCUAAACUUCUACCAUGUCACCUUUUCUUGAAACUAAGAAGUCCUGAAGGUUGCAAACUUUCUUCAUGUGGAUCACUUUGCUUGCCCUUUUCGUUUGUUUGCCUGGAUGGAGAAAGAAGAGGGGUCCGUGAGGUCUACAUGUAGAAACUUCCAACUUCUGCAUGGCUAAAAUCCCAUUCCCUAUUUUAUAGGAUUGCACCUCAAUCCUACAUGUCAGCAGUGUGUUAC